UCCCUGGUGGCUUAGAGGGUAAAGAAUCUGCCUGUAAUGCAGGAGACUCGAGUUCGAUCCUGGGUCAGGAAG
rnacentral:tRNA from 1 species